rnacentral:rRNA from 1 species
UGACGCAGCAACGCCGCGUGAUCGAUGAAGCUUCUAGGAGUGUAAAGAUCUGUCGUGAGGGAAGAAAAGCUUGGAUGUAAAUAAUGUUCAGGUGUGACGGUACCUUACAAGAAAGCACCGGCUAACUUCGUGCCAGCAGCCGCGGUAAUACGAGGGGUGCUAGCGUUGUCCGGAAUAACUGGGCGUAAAGGGUCCGUAGGCGUUUUGCCAAGUUGAUCGUUAAAGCCACCGGCUCAACCGGUGAUCUGCGAUCAAAACUGGUAGAAUAGAAUAUGUGAGGGGAAUGUGGAAUUCCUGGUGUAGCGGUGACAUGCGUAGAUAUCAGGAGGAACACCAAUGGCGAAGGCAGCAUUCUGGCACAAUAUUGACGCUGAGGGACGAAAGCGUGGGGAGCGAACAGGAUUAGAUACCCUGGUAGUCCACGCCGUAAACGAUGAGUACUUGGUGGUGGAGGAUUCGACCCCUUCACUAUCGGAGCUAACGCGUUAAGUACUCCGCCUGGGGACUACGGCCGCAAGGCUG